GUACUCACUUCGGCAGCCCAUACACUAAAAUUGGAACGAUACAGAGAAGAUUAGGAUGGCCCCUGCGCAAGGAUGACAUGCAAAUUUAUGAAGCAUUCCAUAUUUUU
rnacentral:snRNA from 1 species